GAGACACCCCUCCGGGGCAAGACUUGCUUCAGUGGGGCUUUGGUGCUCACUGAGUCUGCCCUCUGAGUGUGUCCUU
rfam:Myotis lucifugus cont2.19309, whole genome shotgun sequence.